CCUACGGGGGACAGCAGUGAGGAAUAUUGGUCAAUGGACGAGAGUCUGAACCAGCCAAGUAGCGUGAAGGAUGACUGCCCUAUGGGUUGUAAACUUCUUUUAUAUGGGAAUAAAAUGUUCCACGUGUGGGAUUUUGUAUGUACCAUAUGAAUAAGGAUCGGCUAACUCCGUGCCAGCAGCCGCGGUAAUACGGAGGAUCCGAGCGUUAUCCGGAUUUAUUGGGUUUAAAGGGAGCGUAGGUGGAUUGUUAAGUCAGUUGUGAAAGUUUGCGGCUCAACCGUAAAAUUGCAGUUGAAACUGGCAGUCUUGAGUACAGUAGAGGUGGGCGGAAGUCGUGGUGUAGCGGUGAAAUGCUUAGAUAUCACGAAGAACUCCGAUUGCGAAGGCAGUUCACUGGACUGCAACUGACACUGAGGCUCGAAAGUGUGGGUAUCAAACAGGAUUAGAUACCCCAGUAGUC
rnacentral:rRNA from 1 species